CAGUCGCCACGGUAAUACGGAGGGUGCAAGCGUUAAUCGGAAUUACUGGGCGUAAAGCGCACGCAGGCGGUCUGACAAGUCAGAUGUGAAAUCCCUGAGCUUAACUUAGGAAUUGCAUUCGAUACUGGGAAGCUAGAGUAUGGGAGAGGAUGGUAGAAUUCCAGGUGUAGCGGUGAAAUGCGUAGAGAUCUGGAGGAAUACCGAUGGCGAAGGCAGCCAUCUGGCCUAAUACUGACGCUGAGGUACGAAAGCAUGGGGAGCAAACAGGAUUAGAUACCCCGGUAGUCCCUGUCUCUUAUAC
rnacentral:rRNA from 1 species